GCCACUCCCUCUCCGUGCAAAAUCCCAGACACCAGCAGCACCACAGUUAGCCAGCACUAGCACGCCGCAUCCACAGCUCCCAUCAGCCACAGCACUAGCAGCUUCUCCUACCUCGAGCAAGCAGCAAGAAGAGCUUGCUGCGCGGCGUUACCUAAUUUGACACUACCAGCUUGCAAUUCACUUGCAGAGGCACGCACACCUAAUUAACACUGCCAUGGCACCAGUGUCGGCGGAGGCGGCCAGCUACCUCGUGCUAGGCGGCAGCAUUGCGUGCGCCUGGGGCGCCGUUUACGCCGCGCCUUGCGAUGAUGGGUCGCGCAGCGCGCGAGGAAUGGCGGAGCCGGACAGCGACGACGACGACGACGACGACUAUGACUGCGCUCCGGCUGCCUGAACCAACCGUUCUAAUGAAAUUAAACUGGUUUGUGACAUGACAUAUUGCGCGAAGUGGCCAAGAACUUGCAUUGUAGGCUUGUAGCUGUACUACUACUGCUGCUGCUGCCCGAAUAGAGCGCCAUCGCCGCAGCACGGCAGCAUGCUAAUAAUCCGAUCGGUUUAGGUGUUUACGGCUUCUUACAUAUGUAAUUCUCGUUUAGCUUACGAUCGAGGCAGUUAAGCGUGGUUUUAAUUUUGUCCCAGGACUAAUAAGCUAGAGUUCAUGCAGGCUAUAGCUUGUGUAAUCAAUAAAAGAUCGAGUUAGAUUAGAUCUGUACUUCUGAUCUGAUGAUGAAAUAAACUGGAAUUUCCCUGAAUGUGUGUACUUCGGGCACCUACCAUUUACUGCUUAACGACCUGCUACACUUUUGUUUGCUGAUCAGUAGUGAUCAUGCUCGUGCUAUUCGAAGUGGAUUGCAUGUUGCCUAUCUCAUGGCUUGUUUAGUUUGGUCAUUGCAUGCAUGCAUGUAUGGACGACUGUUAAGUGUAUUGUCUACACAACUCCAAGCGAGAGAGCUGAUACAGGGGUGUUAAUUGACGAUCCUUAGUUGCACCUCCAACUCUCUUUAGUUUAAAGUUUUGUACUAAUUUUUCAAAUUGAGAUAUCAUUUUGAAGAAGUAAUAACUAAAUAAAGUUGGAGGUGCACCUAAUUAAGAGUCAUCAAUUAACACCACUAGGCUGAGAAGCGUCCUAAUUCGGCCUCUCGGGCAAACCAAUUUCUCUACGAUUUGAACAAUGGUGCGCACAACUGUAUCUUGAGAAUUAAAGUUUUUUGUUUUCCUCAUAUUAUUACGAUCGACAUACUAUGUCUAGACUUUGUCGAUUUGCAGAAUACUAAUAACGGACAUCUUUGUAUCUUACGCAUGGAAUUGAAGGAUCAGGGGUUACAGUUGCUCAGAAAGGCCAAUGACUCGUUCAGCCUAGGGGAAGGAGAAAAGUCUUGUCAAACGCCAACACAGUCAUGGUAGGGUCAAAGACUGGUCAAAGGUGGUCCAGCGGCAGUUUGUGGUUCGGACGAGAGGAUAACAUCAGCAUAAGAUCCAGGAGUCCGAUUAUUUUGGGAUAUCUUGUAAACACUACGUGAGAAAUAAAGAUUUGUAACGGGCACGGAUGGCCCUUCCGUAACGGGCAUAGCAACCGUUACUGUUA